UCAAUUCUUGACAUGGGAAGUCAGCUGGUCUGAGAGCUACUGUAUUGUACUGAGGAGGCUGAACAAGGUGAAGCAGUUCAAUACAGCGGUUAAGAUGAUUUCUGGAAUGAGAGCACAUCAUUUGAAAAUCUGACUCUGCCCAUUCACAUCCAGUAACUCUGGAUCACCUUCAUGAUUCAGCUGAAAUAAAUCCAGUGAUAAAGGAGUUGUAAAUUUCAUGCCAAGAAAAGUGAGCCGUCUCCAGAGUGUCUCAUGCAUCGCUGACUCUGCUCCCUCUUUGUUGCCACCAUUAAUCUUCAUUUAUACUUGCAUAGUGAUUGUCAAGCUCUAUUUUAAUAAACUUUAUAUGUCUCUCCCUAACAUUAAAAGUGAUUUAUUUCUUGUAAAUAAGUGGCUCUGGCAAGCUGUGUUUGGAAAAAAUGUUGCUGAACAGGCAGCACUGGAACUGUAAAGCAAAUAUGGCAUUUUUCCAAGGAUUAGUCUCAGUUACAUAAUGCUGUGUGAAAAUAGACGGACUGAAGUGGCUAUUUACUGUAUGAUUCCAUUUAUAUGAUAUUCUUGCAAGGCGAUAUAUCUGCUCAGAGAACACGUAACUAGAUUCCAGGGGCUGACAAUGGGAUAUUUGUUGAUUCCAAAUGAACGAAGAAAUAUUAAUACAUUUUGGGAUGAGAUAUAUACUGUAUACUCUCCUUAUAGAGGUAGGUGCACACUGAUUAUGUUCAUGAAAACUCUCAAAACUAUACAUAAAAGGGUACAUUUAGUGUAUGGAAAUUAUGUUAUUUUCAAAG